UUUUCAUUUACGUUAAGUACUGUUCACACAGAAUUCAAGAGAAAGAACACAAAACAUCUUGGCUUUGCUGUGACAGGCAAGAAAAGUUUAUGGUGCCAAGUUUACGUACCAGACAUGCAGAAAACUAGGCACCACAUCCACAAACUUUUCGGUUGCAUGCACCAUUGGGACUGCUUACCAAAAUUUACGUAUGGUUGGUCAUGCGGGAAGUGAUCAGCUCUGAACCAAUCAAUGUGUAUAUUGAAAAGCUGGCAACCAUUAUAUUAGACAAUGUCCAAGCAACUGCGCACUUGAGCGGACAUUUGUCAGAGUCAAUUGAAAUUGUUAUAAUCGACACUGUUUACCUCGGUUGUCAAAGUAAAGUUGAGUAAAGACUUGUUUACACUUGAAAUAUUUGCUGCUGCAAUUUUCUUUUGAUUGAUGUAAAUGAGUGGAUGAGUUACAAAUGUUCACACGAGGGUACAUAUACUUAGAGCAUUCAUAACUCAUAUCUAUUCUGUCACAUGCAUCAAAAUUAAUUAAAGAAGAAAAUUGUUCUGGAAAUUGCAGCAAAAAUUGCAAGUGUAAAACGAGGCCUUAAUAUGUACAUAAUAUGCAGGGCUCGAACUAGAGAAAACAUAUGGCCUGUCAGUCUAAAAAUUUUUGGCAGGUGAAAUAAAUUUAGCAUACCAUCUUUAUUCAUUGAAAUUCCCAAAUUUUUAUGAGUCAUAUUUGGAAAAAUCAAUGUUUUCAUGAUAUGUAUUUUUAUUUUACUACAGUAAACUUGGAUUUACAUUUCAAAUAUAAAUGUAUUUAGUCAACUAAAUGAUCUAGUAUAUAUGAGUUGUGGUAAACAAAUGAAAUGAAAUAUGUCUAUAGAAUUUCACCUGCCAUUUCUUUUUGACUAACUGGCAGUUCAAAUUUGUUUUUGCCUGCCAUUUCUAAAAUAUGGCCUCCUUUUGGCCAUUGGCAGCCAGCUAUUUCGAGCCCUGAUAAUAUGUUGCCUUGUUGGUGAAAAUCAAUCACAAUGGCGUUGAGUGCAAACGAAACUAUUAAUGUUCAAAUUUUGGGUGUGUCGAUACACAUAAUCACCAUUUUCACAAAAGCUGUAAAUAUAACUUAUAAGCAUUUAUUUUAGAUUUGAGAAAUUUUAUGUAAUUGAUAGUUUCUUGACAAACUGUUGGAUCUUAACAAACUGUUGUAAUACAUUGUCCAGCUUUCACGUAUUCCCCUGAGUGAUUGGCUUGGUUCCAAAAUAGAGUUAAUGGAAUGAAGCACAAGAUUGAUGUUUAGGGACUGGUCAUAAAGUAAUUACUAGAGGGGGGUGAAGGAUAAAUGAAAUUUCAAGUACAUAUUUCCAUACCCUCCCAAAAACCUAUGGAAAAAUUUUCGUAACCCCCUUCAAUGUAAGUGAAAAUUUUCAUACCCC